GUGUUUGCUGGAUUAACGACAGGUCGAUGCCAAUACAGGACACCCCUGCAGGUUUAAAAAACAAAAUGGCCAAGGCUCUCCCCAGGUGUCGAUGGGGUGGGAGGCAUGGCCCAACUCCUGAAGAUGUCAUGGCACAGUGGGCAGCCACCAUGGGGAAUCCGGCCGGGAUGACAGAGACAGCCCUGCAGCACGGCACUGCUCAUAGUGGGGCCAGGCCCUGGAGGAGUCUCCUGAAGCCACAAACAUACAUAGUCCGCACCCUCCCCUGCCCCAAACUCAGCGUGUAGCAGAUCAACCUCUGUACUAUCAGCCAAGCCAAUACAACAAGCACAGUGAUUGUG